GUACAAAUGCUGGGUUUGUAAAACCACCUGGAGAAAUGGAGGAAGUAGAAAAGGCGGUUGAAAAUUGGGCUAAAAAGGAAUGGGAGUCUAUGAGAGCCUCUGCAAAAGCCAAAGAGAAAGCAGAGAAAUGAAUGAAGAAUAGUACAAAACUGCAAGACUUGUUUCAAGAUAAAUUUUAUGAAUAAAUUGUGUUUCCUUCAUAAAGAUAAUAAUUUGUUUGUGGUGAAUUUAAUUAUAAGUUCAAUUAAUGUGUAGCAUACAGGCGAGAAUAUGUUUUGCGUCAAAGAUAACUUGAAGCAUUGUUUGAUGCUUAUGACAUUUUGAAUUACAGAAAGAGAAAAGAUAAAUAAUAAAACGAUAUAUAGAUUUAAAAAAAACUCUUCAGUAGAUUUGCUCACUUAGUUGGAAAUAUCAUGUCAUAACCUCGCAGUUCAAAUUCAAUAGUCUAAACAUGAUGCACGACUUCUACGAUAUAUAGAUUAA